rnacentral:tRNA from 1 species
GCGGGCGUGGCGGAACUGGCAGACGCAAGGGACUUAAAAUCCCUUUCGCUUCGGCGAGUGUGGGUUCGAGUCCCACCGCCCGCACCA